ensembl:lincRNA
AAAAUUACAGCUGAGAAAUAUUGCAUGCGGUUACAAGAAAAAUUUUGUUGUUUUCUUUAUAGAUUGUGGAAUAAACUCAGUCACUCCAGGGAAGAAUUAUAAUCAUAUACCCACUUGAGCUCAUUGAAGUAAAGGAGGACGUACACACAAAUUCAAAUACAUGGAGGAAACAGGGUUCUAACCGGCGGGAUCCUGCUGGCCCUCUGUCUGUGAAGCAAACGGGACGCAGCCACAGAGUUUAAGAAAACAGCGGAGCUAACUGUAGCUACAGGCAAGGGCUCAGCAUGCUAGAAUGGUUGGUUUAGGCCGUGACCCUAAUCUCAGUCUGAAUACAAAUAGUAGAUGAAGAUUUCAGUCUGAAUAUCUGAGCUGGGCUUUGUCCAGGACCCAGUUUGUGUAGACAAGGCAGGUUGGGGAACAGGGCCAAUCCUGUUCAAGUUGGAUCCAAAGAGUUUUCACCUAGGGGAAGUGCCCUGUACGGAAGUAAUGCAACAGUCUGAGAAAGAUAGCUACCGGAGCUGAAGAAUAAAUUUGUGUUGUGGUGUAGAAAGCUACUGAAAAAUUUCUCUAUUUUUAAAAGCUGCAGACGUUCAUACUUCUCGA